rnacentral:rRNA from 1 species
AGCGAACGCUGGCGGCAGGCCUAACACAUGCAAGUCGAACGAAGUCUUCGGACUUAGUGGCGGACGGGUGAGUAACACGUGGGAACGUGCCCUUUGGUACGGAAUAACUCAGGGAAACUUGAGCUAAUACCGUAUGUGCCCUUCGGGGGAAAGAUUUAUCGCCAUUGGAGCGGCCCGCGUCUGAUUAGCUAGUUGGUGAGGUAAAGGCUCACCAAGGCGACGAUCAGUAGCUGGUCUGAGAGGAUGAUCAGCCACAUUGGGACUGAGACACGGCCCAAACUCCUACGGGAGGCAGCAGUGGGGAAUCUUGCGCAAUGGGCGAAAGCCUGACGCAGCCAUGCCGCGUGAAUGAUGAAGGUCUUAGGAUUGUAAAAUUCUUUCAUCGGGGACGAUAAUGACGGUACCCGGAGAAGAAGCCCCGGCUAACUUCGUGCCAGCAGCCGCAGUAACAC